rnacentral:rRNA from 1 species
GGCGGACGGGUGAGUAAACGUGGGCAACCUGCCUGUAAGACUGGGAAACUUCGGGAACCGAAGCUAAUACCGGAUAGGAUCUUCUUUUAUGGGAGAUGAUUGAAAGAUGGUUUCGGCUAUCACUUACAGAUGGGCCCGCGGUGCAUUAGCUAGUUGGUGAGGUAACGGCUCACCAAGGCAACGAUGCAUAGCCACCUGAGAGGGUGAUCGGCCACACUGGGACUGAGACACGGCCCAGACUCCUAC